rnacentral:rRNA from 1 species
GACGAACGCUGGCGGCGUGCUUAACACAUGCAAGUCGAACGCUGAAGCUCAGCUUUUGUUGGGUGGAUGAGUGGCGAACGGGUGAGUAACACGUGAGUAACCUGCCCCCUUCUUUGGGAUAACGCCCGGAAACGGGUGCUAAUACUGGAUAUUCACUGGUCUUCGCAUGGGGGUUGGUGGAAAGGGUUUUUCUGGUGGGGGAUGGGCUCGCGGCCUAUCAGCUUGUUGGUGGGGUAAUGGCCUAACAAGGCUUUGACGGGUAGCCGGCCUGAGAGGGUGAACGGUCACAUUGAGACUGAGAUGCGGCCCAGACUCGUCCGGGGGGCAGCAGUGGGGACUAUUGGCCAAUGGGCGAAAGCCUGAUGCAGCGACGCCGCGUGAGGGAUGGAGGCCUUCGGGUUGUGAACCUCUUUCGGUCAUGGUCAAGCCGCAACAAUGGUUGUGGUGAGGGUAGUGGGUAAAGAAGCGCCGGCUAACUACGUG